AAGAAACACGGUGCAAGCUGUGGCUUACAGAUGGGCCUGCGGCGCAUUAGCUAGUUGGUGGGGUAACGGCUCACCAAGGCGACGAUGCGUAGCCGACCUGAGAGGGUGAUCGGCCACACUGGGACUGAGACACGGCCCAGACUCCUACGGGAGGCAGCAGUAGGGAAUCUUCCGCAAUGGACGCAAGUCUGACGGAGCAACGCCGCGUGAGUGAAGAAGGUUUUCGGAUCGUAAAGCUCUGUUGCCAAGGAAGAACGCCUUGGGGAGUCACUGCCCUGAGGGUGACGGUACUUGAGAAGAAAGCCCCGGCUAACUACGUGCCAGCAGCCGCGGUAAUACGUAGGGGGCAAGCGUUGUCCGGAAUUAUUGGGCGUAAAGCGCGCGCAGGCGGCCGCUUAAGUUUGGUGUAUAAGCCCGGGGCUCAACCCCGGAUCGCACCGAAAACUGGGUGGCUUGAGUGCAGGAGAGGAAAGCGGAAUUCCACGUGUAGCGGUGAAAUGCGUANAGAUGUGGAGGAACACCANUGGCGAAGGCGGCUUUCUGGACUGUAACUGACGCUGAGGCGCGAAAGCGUGGGGAGCAAACAGGAUUANAUACCCUGGUANUCCACGCCGUAAACGAUGAAUGCUANGUGUUAGG
rnacentral:rRNA from 1 species